CAGCAGCCGCGGGAAUACGAAGGGUGCAAGCGUUAAUCGGAAUUACUGGGCGUAAAGCGUGCGUAGGCGGUGAGUUAAGUCUGCUGUGAAAUCCCCGGGCUCAACCUGGGAAUGGCAGUGGAUACUGGCUCGCUAGAGUGUGUCAGAGGAUAGUGGAAUUUCCGGUGUAGCAGUGAAAUGCGUAGAGAUCGGAAGGAACAUCUGUGGCGAAGGCGACUAUCUGGGCCAACACUGACACUGAGGCACGAAAGCGUGGGGAGCAAACAGGAUUAGAUACCCCUGUAGUCCCUGUCUCUUAUAC
rnacentral:rRNA from 1 species